AGGGAAUCUUCCGCAAUGGACGAAAGUCUGACGGAGCAACGCCGCGUGAGCGAUGAAGGCCUUCGGGUCGUAAAGCUCUGUUGUCAGGGAAGAACAAGUGCCGGAGUCACUGCCGGCACCUUGACGGUACCUGACCAGAAAGCCACGGCUAACUACGUGCCAGCAGCCGCGGUAAUACGUAGGUGGCAAGCGUUGUCCGGAAUUAUUGGGCGUAAAGCGCGCGCAGGCGGUCCUUUAAGUCUGAUGUGAAAUCCCGCGGCUCAACCGCGGGCGGCCAUUGGAAACUGGGGGACUUGAGUGCAGAAGAGGAAAGCGGAAUUCCACGUGUAGCGGUGAAAUGCGUAGAGAUGUGGAGGAACACCAGUGGCGAAGGCGGCUUUCUGGUCUGUAACUGACGCUGAGGCGCGAAAGCGUGGGGAGCAAAC
rnacentral:rRNA from 1 species